GUCAUCACCAUAUCUCGUGUAAACUAUGGCUGACGCUUCACUUAUAGCUAGAGAGUUGCGCAACUUAGCGAAUGAAGUCGAUAACCACGCAUCAAGUGACUAUGUUUUAUUUAGAGUAGAGGUGCUAAUUGAUGCUUUAGUAGAGCUGUAUGCCGGUAUGAAUGUCGAAACACAUCCAGGAUUGUUAGACUCUCUGCUAAAUGUUUACCUGCAUAUUCAAAAUAUGUGCGAGUCAGAGGGUGCUAAGGUGGGACGUCCAUCUUCGUUGCUUACGAUAUGUACUAUUGAAACUUAUCUCUCAAUGGGUCAAACUGCUGGAAACAUCGCAAAGUUGUUUGGUGUGUGUGAAAGAACUAUUCGUAACAGAAUGACGCAGCAUGGUUUAAGAGUAAGCGACCUGUUCUCAACUUUGGAAGACGUUGAACUGGAUGCUGUGGUAGAAGAUACUAAAACGUCAUCCCAAUUCUGGGUAUAAAAUGAUGGUUGGACAUCUCACUGCACAGGGCAUUCGUGUACAGAGGCGACGUGUUCAAGAAUCCAUGCGACGCGUGGAUCCUCAGGGUGUCUUAAUGCGCAGUCUUCAGCUGAACCCUCGGAGGCGUAGAAAAUACACUGUCCCUGCACCCAACAGUUUAUGGCACAUCGAUGGUAACCAUAAGCUAAUAAGGUAUGCUGACAGUAAUAUAAAUUAUUGAAGCUUUAAUCGUGGUCAGCUGGAUGUGUUUUCCUAUGUCAGACUGAAGCGGAAAGGUCUGUUCAGUUGACCAAAAAAACUGAAAGCAUAAAGAUGUGUAAUUGGUUUGAGUAAUUGCAGCUCAAGAUGUUUUGUCACUCUGGCUUCCUCAGUUGAUAGUGGAGCUUUUAAUUUCAGCCUCAGCAUUAAAUUUCAUCACACACAUGUAGACUACAAUUGUGAAUUUGUUGGGGUUAGGUUGAAAGGACUGUGUUGUAAGAAGCUGACAAUCACACCUAUCCUCUGGGCAAAAUCAUCACUUCACUGUCUUAGAACAUGUGAAGUUUAAUGUUGUCUUUCAAGCAUCUGCCUUGUGAAUCUAAAUCUGCAAUGACUCUUACCAUUAUGAGUUGUUAUAUGACUAUUACUGGAUGAUUAUUAAGUCAUAUGACUAUUACUGGAUGAUUAUUAAGUCAUUGGGUAAUGUCUUGUGAUGUCAUUGUGUGUGUUAAGAUGUAAUGUUGGGGAAGCUCCACCAUCAGUUCAUCCAUUUGACUAGAAUGUCUUUGCAGAUUUAUUCUACCAUGACCUGGAUAACUGAGAAAUUUCAUAAACAUAAUUGGUGGGAAAUGAGCAGAUUUUCCUAACUUUGUUGUUCAAUGCAUCAAGAAUUAUGUUAUGGUAAGUAUGUGAUAUACUUUUAUGGCUCUUUUAAUUUACUUUAGAUAGUAGGAUCUGUUUUUAUCUCAUCACUGAAAAGGCUAGUUGUUAAUAUUGUUGCUGGUUUUAGUCUGAAAUUAAUUUUCCUAUAUCUGUUCCAGGUGGCGUAUUGUCGUUCACGGUGGCAUUGAUGGCUUUAGCCGUCUAAUCGUCUACUUAAAAGCUGCCACCAAUAAUAAAGCUGCUACAGUCCUGACAAGCUUUUUAGAAGGUGUCAGCCUGUUUGAUGUGCCAUCACGUGUAAGGUCAGAUAAAGGUGGGGAGAAUAUAGAUGUUGCUCGCUUCAUGGUGUCCACCAGAGGAGAGAACAGAAACUCGCACAUUACAGGGAGGAGUGUCCAUAAUCAAAAGUAUACAGUGCCUUGCAUAGUGUUCAGACACUUUGGAGAAAAAAAAAUCUGGAUUUUUAUUGCAAACUCAUAUGUUCUACAAGUACUUUUUUAAAGCCAAAAUUAAAGGGUGGGCCUGGGUAGCUCAGCCUGCAAAGACGGUUGGCUACCAUCGAAUCCUGGUGUAAUGAGUGACUCCACUCAGGCUUCCUAACCAACCAAAUUGGCUCAGAUGCUAGGGAGGGAAGAGUAACAGGGGUUACCAUCUUCGUGGUUGCGAUGACGGUUCUCGUCCACAGCAGGGUGCGUGGUGAGCCAUAUGCAGAAUUGUAGGAAAUGGCAUGAGCCUCCACACGUGCCAUGUAUCCAAUGUGAUGCGCCCAGUGAAACACAUGAAAAUAUGCAUGGAUUGACAGACUCGGAAACGGAGGUAACCGAGGGCUGUCCCCCGCCACCUGGACUGGGGGUAGAGCAACCGUGGAUGGCUGGGUGGUGAUUGUGGACUGCAAUUUUCAAAUAGUGCCACAGAUUCUCGAUAGAAUUCAUGUGUUGCUUUUGCCUUGUGCUUGGGAUCUUUGACGGAGCAAAAUACAGGGCAAUAAUGAAUUUUCUGCUAAAAAGCUGAAACUUUUUUUUUUAGCAGGACACUGAUCCCAAGCACAAAGCAAAAGCAACAUAGGAAUUACUCGAGAACAAAAAGGUGAAUACCCUACAGUGGCCCAAAGUCCUAAUCUCAAUCCUUUUGAGAAUUUAUUUAAAAAUUUCACUCCACCCAACCAACCUGAAUCACCUGGAGCAAAUAUUCCAAGGAAUGGACAAAACUUACACUCAGCCUGUUUAUAAAACAUUUAAAACUGUUAUUACAGCAAAAUUCGGCCUGAAUAUUAAGGGGUAUGAAUUUUCACUUGGAACACAAUAAAGACAGACAUUGUUUUAAAGACACUGAAUGCAUGGACACUUUUUGCACACAUUAAUACAUGCUCACUCCUGUUUCCAAGCCACCUCUGGCUUUUUUGGAAAGUCAUUACAAAUAUCUACUCUGAUAUCUUUUAAUUUUGGCUGUAAAAAAUGUACUCAUAGGACUGCAUUUUCAAUCAAAUUUAUAAAUAGUUUUGCAAGCUCUAUGUAUGUAUGUGUCUGUAUACAUACAAUACUGUGGAAAAAGUAUUUGCCCCUUCCUGAUGUCUUCUAUUUUUCUGUACUGUAGAUCUCUCACAAAAGUUUCAGAUCUUCAAAUGUGUGAAAAGUAUUUGUCCCCUUAGUUAUUAAAUAACCAAAUGGCUGUAAAAUAGAUGAUUUUUUCAAGGUACAUUUAAGGUUAUGUAAGUCAAUUUCAGGCACAACUUUCAAAAUUUAGUCAAGGUCCUUGUUUCCAGUUUAAAUAUUUUGGCUCUUUUACUGUGUUAGGAUCGAAAGGUUGUGGAGAGAUGUUUAUGCUGGAGUGCUUGAUCUCUUCUAUACAAUCUUCACCAACCUUGAGAAUGAAGGGCUUCUGAAUCCAGAUGAUGAAAUGCAUCUCUAUGCACUGCACCGGUGCUUCAUGCCACAUGUAGAGAAACACCUUCAGUUCUUUCAGGAUGGCUGGAACCACCACAAGUUGCGGACCGAAGGAAACCGGUCACCAAUACAGCUCUGGGAAAGUCAUCAGCCUGAGGCAUUGCAAGACCCUAACCAGGUAGAUGCCAUGCAAUAUGGCAUUGACUGGACAGAGCCAUGUGGUCAUCACGAACCCGGUGUAGUGAUCCCUGAAGUACAAAUGCCACAUCAACUCACACAGCAGGAUGCUGAGAGGUUCCCAAACCCAGAUGUCCCUCUGGCUGAUGUGUUAGAGGUCUACAGAGAGACUGUAGCUUUAUUAUCAGAAAUGAUAGAUUAGCACAAAUAUACAAGAGAUGAGAGAAUUUUGUUUAAGAUUUUAGAGGUUGUGUUUUGUUAUAUUAAAUGAUUUCGAUGUGCCUGUCUGUAUUUGAUAAAAUUUGUUUAAACACUGGCAUAAUUGAUGUACUUAAAAAUUCAUUCAUGCUAUAUGGUAUAAAACAACCCAAAACCUAUAAUCAGUAAACAGCUGUACAUGUUCAGCUUAAAACGUUUAUUCAACGUGUUAAUUUUUAUAAUGCUGGCUUUGAACAGCCACACUAUCUUUGUAGUGCACUGAGGUCAGUAAAUGUUUAUUAUAACUAUUUAACCAGAGGUUAGUUUGGUAUAACUUUUACAACAACAAGGUUGUGUUCUGAAUAAUACAAUUCAAGUAUUGCAUAUGAGAUUUGUGGACUGGACGUCUGUGCUUAGUCACAAAAACAAAAAGUGGGACAUUUUAACAUUAACUCCAGUUAAUAUGGAUUAACUCUGGCAUCCAGUGAAUAUUAUUUGUAACUCAAGAACUUCUUCCAAACCAUUUUAUAUCCAUAUUCUGUACUCCAGAUAGCAGCUUAAUGUCUAGGAGACCAUAUUUAUAGUGAAUCGUUGACAACAAAAAGGUUAUGAACUCAGCAACAUGUCAAAAGUGUUUGAUAUUUGUAGACUGGAUAUCUGAUGUCUUUGUAACAAAAACUGUAAAAUUUUAACACUAACUCCUGUAAAUAUGGAUU